CCCUGCACCUGGCUGAGCCCUUUGCAGAGACAAGUGGCAAGCAUGAGAAGUCAGAAAGCAUCCAGGCUCAUCUCAGCAGCUUUGGUGUUUUUAUCUAAGCAAGAAACUCAUCCAGCCUAACUUCCUCCACACCUUCUAUUUCUAAGGGCUUGGUUUCUACCAUCGCUUUCCUGCCUGCUCGGGAGAUUUUCCAGAACAGAGCACACAGCAUUUCCACUGCUCAGCCAUGCUCCUGUUUCUCAUCUCAAUACUGGGGAUUGCAUUUACCCUGAGAGAUGCCAGAGCGCAGUCAGUGACCCAACCUGAUGGCCAUGUCUUGGUUUCUGAAGCAGCCUCACUGGAGCUGAGGUGCACCUAUUCUUAUGGUGCAACUCCUUACCUCUUCUGGUACAUCCAGUACCCAAACCAAGGUCUCCAGCUUCUCCUCAGGUACUUUUCAGGGGACACCCUGGUUGAAGGCAUUAAAGGCUUUAAGGCUGAAUUGAAGAAGAAUGAGUCUUCCUUCAACCUCAGGAAAUCCUCAGCCCAUUGGAGCGACUCAGCUGAGUACUUCUGUGCUGUGAGUGACACAGUGCCUGGGUCUACAGGGGGAGCUGAACACAAACCACUCAUGGGAGUGGAGUUUUGAGAGACUCAAGAUCGC